GACGAACGCUGGCGGCGUGCUUAACACAUGCAAGUCGAACGGUGAAGCUCCAGCUUGCUGGAGUGGAUCAGUGGCGAACGGGUGAGUAACACGUGAGCAACCUGCCCCUGACUCUGGAAUAAGCGCUGGAAACGGCGUCUAAUACUGGAUACGAGAAGGGUCCGCAUGGGCACUUUCUGGAAAGUUUUUCGGUUGGGGAUGGGCUCGCUGCCUAUCAGCUUGUUGGUUAGGUAAUGGCUCACCAAGGCGACGACGGGUAGCCGGCCUGAGAGGGGGACCGGCCACACUGGGACUGAGACACGGCCCAGACUCCUACGGGAGGCAGCAGUGGGGAAUAUUGCACAAUGGGCGAAAGCCUGAUGCAGCGACGCCGCGUGAGGGAUGACGGCCUUCGGGUUGUAAACCUCUUUCAGCAGGGAAGAAGCGAAAGUGACGGUACCUGCAGAAGAAGCACCGGCUAACUACGUG
rnacentral:rRNA from 1 species